rnacentral:rRNA from 1 species
UACGUAGGGGGCAAGCGUUGUCCGGAUUUAUUGGGCGUAAAGAGCGUGUAGGCGGCUGGGUAGGUCCGCUGUGAAAACUCGAGGCUUAACCUCGAGACGUCGGUGGAAACCAUCCAGCUAGAGUCCGGAAGAGAAGAGUGGAAUUCCUGGUGUAGCGGUGAAAUGCGCAGAUAUCAGGAAGAACACCCGUGGCGAAAGCGGCUCUCUGGGACGGUACUGACGCUGAGACGCGAAAGCGUGGGGAGCGAACAGG